rnacentral:tRNA from 1 species
GGGCGAGUGGUGGAAUGGUAUACACGCACGACUCAAAAUCGUGUACCGCAAGGUGUGAGGGUCCGACUCCCUCCUCGCCCA